CCACUUUCUUUCAUUACACGUGGCUCUGUUCUGUAAAUAAACAUUAACACACACACUUAAUAAUCACCACACCUGCACACACACACCUGCACACACACGCACACACACACCUGCACCCGAGAAAUACACACAGACACCCAUAGAGACCCUAAAACAAUAAGAAAACACGAGAGAAAACGUUAAAUAUGGCGAUAACACAUAUAUAGCCAGUCAGCACAGCAGGAUGUCUUGAACGAAAACAAGGCACAUGAAAGUAAUUCACUCUUUUAAAAACCCUAAAUUCUUGCUUUUUUUUUCCGCGGAUUGCUGUGUUUGGGCGGCGAGGAGAUGGAGAAAGCAAGCAAGGUCAUUAGAAGAUCAGGCGUGAAGCUGCGGUCGCUGUCAAGUGGCCACGGUGACUUGCAAAUGGUUAUAUCUCAGCUUGGCGAGGUGCGUUCCUCCUUCAAGGCCUUCGCACUGGCCCAGGCAACCGCAGCGGAGGAUUUGCUGCGGUGGGCGGGCGGCAGUGGUGGUGGAGGAAGCCAGGAGAACCGUGCAAUUGAGGAGACCUUCGCACACCUGGCAGAGCUGUCCAUGCUGUGGUCGGAGGUACAAAAGGAUUUCGCUGACCAACUGAAGGAGUACCGGGCACAAUAUGAACUCAUUCUGGAGGGGGAGAAGCAUGUGACGGACGCAAGGGAGGUGCUGAGCCUGAGGGAACAGAGAGAGGGAAAGCUGAGGAGGGACCUGAAGAGAGCCAGCAAGAAGGCACCCCUUGAAGAGAUCUGCAUGCUGAAGGAAAAGCUUGGCCAGGCAGAGAGAUCGCGGGACUUGGCACAUUUGGAUGUGGUGGAGCGCGUGGCAGAAAACGAAGCAGUGAAGAUGAUCCGAGUCAAGGAGGGACUGCUGAAACUUGGUGCGGCUUAUUGCGAACUGGCCCACAAGUGUUUGGUCAUCUUUACUGCCCACCGCGAUAUUGCUGCACAGCUUCCAGACGUACAAGACAGAGACCUGCACGGCGUUAAGUAUACUGGAGCGGGUGCAGCCACACGGUGCGUCCAGGAGGCAAAGGACCGGGUGCGCUCAUUCCGCCGCAGCAGCACAUCCCCCCCCAAGGCCCCUGCUCCACACCCCAGCGACCCCCCUCCCCCGUACACCCCAUCUAACACCCCUCACCACUUCUUCCCAGCCUCUGCCCCGUCAUCACAUCCCCCCCCCAUCACCCACAGCCCAUCACUGCCCGAGGAGCACACCCCGCACCCCUCCAGCGCGGCGCACCCCUCCCCACACUCCACCAGUGCACCGAACCUUGCCGAGGACACACCCAGUCACUGCCACCUUCCACACACUCCACUUCCUCUCUCCGGGCAAGACAGGAGUGGCUUUACGGACUCCACCUUCCACCACGACACUUCUGCCUCCUCCCCUAACCUCGCCCGGCCUCCACCCCCACCCCACGCCCCCCACAGCCCCCCCUAUGAGUGGCCAGCUGGACAGGGGAUAGAUGGGCAGAUUGAGGAAGCUGGAAGGACCCAGCCAAAUUCCUGGGGCACUCCUACCACCACCACCACCACCUACCCAACUGUCAAUGGCUUUACUGAUCCCCCCAGCUCCCCACUCCCCCACGCCCCCCCUUGCCGCCCCCCGCCCCCCUCAGCCUCUGUGCGGCCCAGGGUGGGGCGCAACCCUUUCUUUGAGGACUCGGAAGAGGAGUGCAGGUGUGGGGAGGACGAGAGGGGGGAGAGGGGGGAUGGGGGGGUGGCCAGCCUCUCAGGAGCUCUCAAAAAGACAGGUAUUCGGUAAUUUGGAGAGUGACACACCUGCAAAUUGAUUGGGGGCAGGUGUGUGGUGAGUGGAGGGAAUGAAGGCAGGUGUGCAGUGAUUGGAGAGAAUGAAGGCAGGUGUGCAGUGAUUGGAGGAGGUAAUGAAGGCAGGUGUGUGGUGAUUGGAGGGAAUGAAGGCAGAUGUGUUCUGAUUGGAGGAGGGAAUGAAGGCAGUAGCAGGUGUGUGAUCAGCAUGACAGACACACCUGCAGAGUGACUUCAUGUGGUCAGUCAAUAAACACAGGGUUGUUUACUUUUUGUUUGUUUGUUUGUUUGUUUUUGUGGUUUGAAAAUUUUUCAGGCACAAAAUUAUGAAUUAUUAAUGGACAUAUCUGUGAAAUAUACUUUUGUUUAUUUAUUUAUUUAUUUAUUUUAUUUUAUUUAUUUAGUUAUUCUAUAUAAGGAGAAAAGUUUAUUAAUUUCUUUUAGGCACGAAAGUAAAAUGCAUGAAUUACUAAUGAACACACACCUUAGAUAUAUUUAUUUAUUGCAUUUAUUUAUUUAUUUAUUUAUUUUAUAUAAGGAGAAAAGUUUAUAAAUUUCUUUUAGGCAUGAAAAUAAAAUGCAUGAAUUUCUAAUGGACACACACACAUUAGAUAUAUUUUUUUAUUGCAUUUAUUUAUUUAUUUAUUUAGUUAUUUAUAUCUUUUUAUGUAUGGAGAAAAGUUUACAAAUUUCUUUUAGACAAAAAAAUAUGAACUUAUGAAAUAUGAAUGAAAUAUUUAUUUAUUUUACUAAUUUUGUUUAUAUAUAAUUAAUUUAGUUAUUUUAUUGAAGGAGAGAAGAGUUUACAAUUUGUUUAGGCACAAAAAUGACCAAUUAAAGGAACACAUCUGUAAAAUAAACCUUCCAUCUUAUUUAAUUAGUAUUCAUUUAUUUAUUAUUUAUUUAUUUAUUUUAGUUCCUGGUGUGAGAAAGAGUUUACCAUUCCUAAUCAAUUUUGUAUCAUUGUUCUAUUUUAUGUUAUUUAUUUUACGACUGUUAUUGUUAUUUAUUUAUUCAUUUUACUUAUUUAUUUUUUGAAAGACAGACUUUACAAUUUAGAGUUCAAUUUGUGCCAGAGUUUCUUAUUAUUAUUAUUACUAUUUUAUUUAUUUAUUUAUUUAUUUAUUUUUUAUCUAUUUUAUUUCAUUUAUAUAUUUUACCACUAUUAUUAUUAUUAUUAUUAUUAUUAUUAUUAUUAUUAUUAUCAUCACAUUUAUGGGCAUUUCUGUCAAUCUGGCCACACCCACACUGCAACUCAGGCUAGGUCAGGUCAGGUCGGCUCCUCUCCCAAGCUUAGGGUGUGUUAGGUCAAAUGAGGUCAGAUCAGCUUCUCUCUCUCAAGCUUAGGAUGUGUUAGGGGUCAGGUCAGGUCCUGUCUUAAAGUUCUGGCUGUGUCUUACAAUUAUUAUUAUUAUUAUUAUUAUUAUUACUAUUAUUAUUAUUAUUCUGCAUUAUGUCUGUACGGCUGAAGCAUAAGUCAAAAUCUGAUUAUAUAUUACAUUGCGAAAUUUAAGUAUUGUCAAACGGCCAUUGUGUGUGUGUGUGUGUGUGUGUGUGUGUGUGUGUGUGUGUGUGUGUGUGUGUGUGUGUGUGUGUGUGUGUGGAAUAUACUAAAUUUUCUCUCUCUCUCUCUCUCUCUCUCUCUCUCUCUCUCUCUCUCUCUCUCUCUCUCUCUCUCUCUCUCUCUGGUUGUGAC